UCCCCAAUAGCUCAGUCGGUAGAGCGCGUGACUGUUAAUCACGAUGUCGAUGGUUCGAGCCCGUCUUGGGGAGCCA
rnacentral:tRNA from 1 species